rnacentral:tRNA from 1 species
GGAGGGACUGUGGCUCAGUGGUAGAGUAUCUGGUUGGCAUGCAAAAAGUCCCAGGUGCAGUCCCUGGAAUCUCCA